UCAGGCAAGCACGAAGAAAGCGCUCGAUCAGCCUCUGAAGUAGCAACGCUGAUCAAAACAUUUCGUGUUGGGCUCAAUUGUGUUUCUCAGGCGAAAUAAACCGUAAGAAGCCUGGAUACAUUUGAAGGGUGGAAGUGCAUCAUGUUGCGCCUGAUAACCCUUGAUGCGAACAAUACCCUUUUAAACUGUGGGAAUUUGGAGCAAUAGGAUCAGUCAUCCAAAGUUGAAGGUAC